AAAAAGAUAAGCUAAUUUUAAGCUAAUGGGUUCAUACCCCAUCAAUAAAGAAUCUCUUUUCUUUUUA
rnacentral:tRNA from 1 species